rnacentral:rRNA from 1 species
UACGGAGGAUCCAAGCGUUAUCCGGAAUCAUUGGGUUUAAAGGGUCCGUAGGCGGUUUAGUAAGUCAGUGGUGAAAGCCCAUCGCUCAACGAUGGAACGGCCAUUGAUACUGCUAGACUUGAAUUAUUAGGAAGUAACUAGAAUAUGUAGUGUAGCGGUGAAAUGCUUAGAUAUUACAUGGAAUACCAAUUGCGAAGGCAGGUUACUACUAAUGGAUUGACGCUGAUGGACGAAAGCGUGGGGAGCGAACAGGAUUAGAUACCCUGGUAGUCCACGCCGUAAACGAUGGAUACUAGCUGUUGGGUGUAAACUCAGUGGCUAAGCGAAAGUGAUAAGUAUCCCACCUGGGGAGUACGUUCGCAAGAAUGAA